UCAUUUUACACUUGUAGGCGCCCUUGAAUUUCCCCUUCUCCCAAAUUCUCUCUCAAGCUCCCUCAGAAUCCCUCGUCGCCUCCUUCCAUCUCCACCCUAAGGUCGCCUGAAUCCAUGGCUUCCAAAGCCAUUAAGAACUUGUACUUGCUUCCUCCGACUCCUACAUGCAUGCUUACUAUGGUUUCAAGGUCAUACCUUGACUAAGCUUGGCCCAAACUUUAUUUCAUUCGAGUUAUAUGGCUAUCUCCGACCUUGCUCUGGCCACACAUGGAUGUUCAAGCCCGAUCUUGACUUCUCCGACUCAGAUUAAUGACUUUUCAAGCCUUUCUCACCACCUGGGUUCUUCUGAAAUCCUAACCUUCGAG
rnacentral:lncRNA from 1 species